CCUACGGGGGGCAGCAGUGAGGAAUAUUGGUCAAUGGCCGGAAGGCUGAACCAGCCAUGCCGCGUGAAGGUCAGUGCCCUAUGGGCGUUAAACUUCUUUUGUGCGGGAGCAAUAAUGGUCACGUGUGGCCAGACGAGAGUACCGUACGAAUAAGCAUCGGCUAACUCCGUGCCAGCAGCCGCGGUAAUACGGGGGAUGCAAGCGUUAUCCGGAUUUAUUGGGUUUAAGGGGUGCGUAGGCUGUGAGGUAAGUCAGCGGUGAAAUGCCCCCGCUCAACGGGGUGAAGUGCCAUUAAUACUGCCGUGCUGGAAUGCGGAUGCCGUGGGAGGGAUGUGUGGUGUAGCGGUGAAAUGCAUAGAUAUCACACAGAACACCGAUUGCGAAGGCAUCUCACGAAGCCGCGAUUGACGCUGAUGCACGAAAGCGUGGGUAUCAAACAGGAUUAGAUACCCUAGUAGUC
rnacentral:rRNA from 1 species